CAUGUGAUCUUUGUAGAUUGCAGUCGAGUCUUCCAUACAACCAGAACACCGAUCUACUCACCGUUUCGAGUAUCAAAGGAUGGGUCGAGAACACAGGUUAAUUUGGAAGUGAGGCCUAAUUUAUAAGGUUCAAGAGAAACGUAAUGAAUGGAUCAAUCGCAACAUAACUCGAGAUCGACGAUGUUUGUGCAGUAGCGGAAACAAAUAAGUAGAAUUAGAUAACGACUCUAAUAGCUCCUUGAGCAGGUGCUAUUCUUCUGAGCGAACACUCCGCUAAGAGGAACCAAGAAGGUAAUUCUUCUCCUUUCUCUCUCGCACCAACUUUAGGUUUCAGAUUAAUUCGGGAGAUUUGCUGUGGGAAUUGUUAAUAAGUGCAGAUCAUGUUGGUAAGUUGGGCGCUCAAAUCAAGUGUUCUUUUUAUCGUCUCUCUCAUUUGCAGUAUUUUUUACUAAAAUAAGUUUAUAAUUUCGCACAUGCAUGAGUUGUUUGUUUAAGGUAAAAUUCAAAAUCUAAAAUACAGUAAAACUAAACCUAUUUGGUAUUUAUAUCGGAUUCAGUUUAGUUUAGAUCAAAUUUCCGGAUCCAUUCAACCAAUUCGGCAUUUCUGCCUAUCUCUGCUUAAAAUGAUUAAUUAAGUUUAAGAAGUUUUGUAAUAAAUAUUCCAAAAAUAGAUACCAAUUGAUGAAAGCAAUUAAAUAUCAAAACAUAAAUAUCAUAGAGUAAUAGUAUCGAACAAAGUACAUAAAUAUCAAUGUUAUAGAAUUAUACAAUAUAUAAUUAAGAUCAAAUUAUAACUGUUAUCAUCUCAACUCUAGUAUUACAUGUACCUAUCGAAGACAUAAAGUCCUAUAUUCGCAUCUGUCAUUUCUUACUUUGAAUCUAUAAAAUUACCAAGGUUAAACCAAGAGAUAUGUCAUCAGUGUUAUAAAAAUCGGUUUAUACAUCAUUUAGGUGUCCGUCUAGUCGACAAAAAAUGGUAUACUCGCUUAAAAUACCGGUUUAGGCGUCCACCUAAUCAAUAAUCUCAUAUAAAACCUUUAAUUACCGCUUAUCAAUUUCUUGAACAAUGUAUAUCACUGAAUCAUACACAGAGACAGACCCAGGAAUAAGUUUUGAGGGGGUCAUAAACCAUUUUUUACCAGCUCAGCUACUGACUAUUUAUUAAUUUCUUAUACAAAACUAUCAUAUUUUUAUAGUGUCAAGUGACCUCACUCCUCUUUAUGUAGGCACGCCCCUGAUCAUAUAUGUAUUAAGAUGACCUGUUCAGUUUAACAAACCCGGUGUGGGUUCUCAUUUUACCAAAACCGAUCAUGAUAUAACAAUCUUUACCCGAUUCUCAGUAUCACUUCUUUUGUGUUGCUCAAUAUUCUGUUAUGCGAUGCCAAGUUACUCAAAUGGAUCCAUGUGAUUCUAAAAGAUAAGACUAAUCUAUAACAUACAAUACAAUGCAAGCUAAAUAGGGAAUCAACAUAGGGUUUAUUUCCUUCUACAUACAUAAGGCUGCAUCUCCAUCCGUCCACCAACAAUGACCAAACUAGUAUCAACGUGCUUCAAUGUGUAACUGCUUAUUGAAAUUGCGAUAUUUCUAUGGUGUGCAUUAUCCUCUUGUUCUUCCAUCAACAUGAGUAAGUAGAAGGACUAAGUCACAAUAAUUGAGAAGAGGAUAACAGAAACCUGCAGAUUCAUUUCCUAGAGUUUUUUUUUUUUAAGUUGUGAUCAAAGCAAAUCAGAGACCAACGAGGACAACAUCAAGAAGCAAUUAAGUAACCUUGAUUUUUUGCAUCGUUUGGUAGUAACGAGGACCUCCGUCCCAUCGCCGUUAAGGUCAGCUAUAAUAGGUAGUGGGAGACGAUAGACUUCGUGUUUGAUUGGGUAAUAAUCGUACAAAUGGAACCAUGCUUCAGUUGACAGUAUGCUCCUCUGUUUGUUUUUGAAUUUCAUCAAUUAAUGUCUAUGUUCCCAAAGAUAGGGUGACAAAAUCUUCAUUAAGGUUAUGGAAUCAUUGAGUUCCUUAGUGAGUAAGUCGCUGACUAUGUAAGUCUUUCCCUUUUCCAUGAGUUUUAACGUCUUUCUCUACACAAUAGUAACCGUUUAUUUCCAUGUGCAGAAAAACACAAUAGUAACCAUUUAUUUACAUGUGCAGACAAUUAAGGUUCUUAACAUGAUUAAGCUCCAUGGAAAACCUAUAUUUGUUAACAAGUAGGCAUCUAAAGAUAAGAAGAUCAUCAAUGUUGGUGCUAACCUUUGGAAACAGUUAAAAUGAUGGUUUUUAUUUACGCUUCUGCCAAAGGAUGCACAUUAGAAAAUCUUAUAAGAGAGAUAGAACAAAAUGGGUGCGGAUUUUGAGCCCUGCGAAUCGGGUUGUUCUUGGUAAGUCCAAAAUCUCCAAGAAGCGUAAAGAUUUGCUUGUCGGAGUUGGUCAUGUUUAUUUUGAUGCCAAGGGCCAAUAACUGCGGAUUUUAACCGAAUUCAACAAGUGAUCAUUCGACAGCAACUACUACGCUGAGAGAGCAGCACGGGGAUGGUAGUAGUGAAAAGACAAGUUUAACCCAAUAUAGUAAAGAAAACAGUAAAGCUCGAGGAAGAGACAUCAGAAAAGAAAUAUGACAAGUUUAUUAAACUAACUGUCUCACUCUCAAUACGCCAGAGAUACCAGCUAUGAAUGAGUGUUUUGUGGAGCUGGUAGCAGCAAGAGUCAUCGUAGAUUCUGUAAUCAGCGGAUGAUAGCAAAACGUGGUCGGAUUUCAAAAGAAGUUAUAUGAAAAAAGAUCUAUAGCAAAGUCGGAUGAAUGCUUCAAUCUGACCAACGUUGAUUCUCCACCUUACUAUCUUUUGCUCAUUAACUUUUCUUUUAAGGUAAAUCUUCGCUUCCACACAAAAGCAGCUAAAAGCAAGUUUCAAACACUAUUUUAGUUGGGUAGCUAUGAAAGCUUCGUAUAGAUAAAUAUAUAAAUAAGUGACCCUGAGGAAAUUAUAUAAUUUUCUAGGAAUAAAUUAUUAUUAUUAUUUUCUUUGAAUAAAUUAUUGUCAAACUUAUAAGAUAUUGUUAAUAUUAUGUUGUAGAAUGUUUCGCAA